AUUGAACGCUGGCGGCAUGCCUUACACAUGCAAGUCGAACGGCAGCACGGGUGCUUGCACCUGGUGGCGAGUGGCGAACGGGUGAGUAAUACAUCGGAACAUGUCCUGUAGUGGGGGAUAGCCCGGCGAAAGCCGGAUUAAUACCGCAUACGAUCCACGGAUGAAAGCGGGGGACCUUCGGGCCUCGCGCUUUAGGGUUGGCCGAUGGCUGAUUAGCUAGUUGGUGGGGUAAAGGCCUACCAAGGCGACGAUCAGUAGCUGGUCUGAGAGGACGACCAGCCACACUGGGACUGAGACACGGCCCAGACUCCUACGGGAGGCAGCAGUGGGGAAUUUUGGACAAUGGGCGAAAGCCUGAUCCAGCAAUGCCGCGUGUGUGAAGAAGGCCUUCGGGUUGUAAAGCACUUUUGUCCGGAAAGAAAUCCUUGACUCUAAUACAGUCGGGGGAUGACGGUACCGGAAGAAUAAGCACCGGCUAACUACGUG
rnacentral:rRNA from 1 species